rnacentral:rRNA from 1 species
AACUAUAACGGUCCUAAGGUAGCGAAAUUCCUUGUCAGGUAAGUUCUGACCCGCACGAAUGGCGUAAUGAUUUGGGCACUGUCUCGACAGCCCGCCCGGCGAAAUUGUAGUACUGGUGAAGAUGCCAGUUACCCGCAACUAGACGGAAAGACCCCAUGGAGCUUUACUGCAGUUUAAUACUGGGAAUCGGUAAUUCAUGUACAGGAUAGGUGGGAGACUGAGAAGCAUGGCCGUCAGGUCGUGUGGAGUCACCGGUGGGAUACCACUCUUGGAUUGCUGGUUUCCUAACCUGCGGCCCUGAAUCGGGUCGGGGGACACUGUUAGACGGGCAGUUUGACUGGGGCGGUCGCCUCCAAAAGAGUAACGGAGGCGCUCAAAGGUUCGUUCAGCACGGACGGAAAUCGUGCAUUGAGUGUAAACGCAUAAACGAGCCUAACUGCGAGACCGACGGGUCGAGCAGUAACGAAAGUUGGAGUUAGUGAUCCGGUGGUAUGUGAGUGGAAAUGCCAUCGCUCAACGGAUAAAAGUUACCCUGGGGAUAACAGGCUGAUCUCCCCCAAGAGUCCACAUCGACGGGGAGGUUUGGCACCUCGAUGUCGGCUCAUCGCAUCCUGGGGCUGUAUUCGGUCCCAAGGGUUUGGCUGUUCGCCAAUUAAAGCGGCACGCGAGCUGGGUUCAGAACGUCGUGAGACAGUUCGGUCCCUAUCUGUUGCGGGCGUAAGAGAUUUGAAGGGAGCUGUCCUUAGUACGAGAGGACCGGGAUGGACGUACCUCUGGUGCACCAGUUGUCCUGCCAAGGGCAUAGCUGGGUAGCUAUGUACGGACGAGAUAAACGCUGAAAGCAUCUAAGCGUGAAACUCUCCCUAAGAUGAGAUCUCUCAUCCAUUAUGGAGUAAGGGCCCAGAAAGACGAUCUGGUUGAUAGGCCGGAGGUGGAAGCGCGGUAACGUGUGCAGCUGACCGGUACUAAUAGCCCGAGGGCUUGACCUA